rfam:Exophiala oligosperma strain CBS 72588 unplaced genomic scaffold supercont1.1, whole genome shotgun sequence.
GCAAUCGACCAUAGGACGUGUAUAAACAGGGCUUCCCGUCCGCUCAGCCAUACUUAAACCACGUGCCGUUCAGUCAGUACUACCGUGGGUGACCAGGUGGGAAUCCUGAAUUUUGAUUGUU